rnacentral:rRNA from 1 species
AUUCGGAAUCACUGGGCUUAAAGGGUGCAUAGGCGGCGCGGAAAGUUGGGUGUGAAAUCCCUCGGCUCAACCGAGGAACUGCGCCCAAAACUACCGUGCUCGAGGGAGAUAGAGGUGAGCGGAACUUAGGGUGGAGCGGUGAAAUGCGUUGAUAUCCUAAGGAACACCGGUGGCGAAAGCGGCUCACUGGAUCUCUUCUGACGCUGAGGCACGAAAGCUAGGGUAGCGAACGGG